rnacentral:rRNA from 1 species
AUUGAACGCUGGCGGCAUGCCUUACACAUGCAAGUCGAACGGUAACAGGUCUUCGGAUGCUGACGAGUGGCGAACGGGUGAGUAAUACCUCGGAACGUGCCCGAUCGUGGGGGAUAACGGAGCGAAAGCUUUGCUAAUACCGCAUACGAUCUACGGAUGAACGCAGGGGACCGCAAGGCCUUGCGCGGACGGAGCGGCAGAUGGCAGAGUAGGUCGUUGGUGGGAUAAAAGCUUACCAAGCCGCCGAUCUGUAGCUGGUCUGAGAGGACGACCAGCCACACUUGGACUGAGACACGGCCCAGACUCCUACGGGAGGCAGCAGUGGGGAAUUUUGGACAAUGGGCGCAAGCCUGUUCCAGCCAUGCCGCGUGCAGGAUGAAGGCCUUCGGGUUGUAAACUGCUUUUGUACGGAACGAAAAGACUCUGGUUAAUACCUGGGGUCCAUGACGGUACCGUAAGAAUAAGCACCGGCUAACUACGUGCCAGCAGCCGCAGUAACAC